CGGGGCGUGGCGCAGCUUGGCAGCGCGCUUGGUUUGGGACCAAGAGGCCGCCGGUUCGAAUCCGGCCGCCCCGACCA
rnacentral:tRNA from 1 species